rnacentral:rRNA from 1 species
UGGGGAAUAUUGCACAAUGGGCGCAAGCCUGAUGCAGCCAUGCCGCGUGUGUGAAGAAGGCCUUCGGGUUGUAAAGCACUUUCAGCGAGGAGGAAGGUGGGUGAACUUAAUACGUUCAUCAAUUGACGUUACUCGCAGAAGAAGCACCGGCUAACUCCGUGCCAGCAGCCGCGGUAAUACGGAGGGUGCAAGCGUUAAUCGGAAUUACUGGGCGUAAAGCGCACGCAGGCGGUUUGUUAAGUCAGAUGUGAAAUCCCCCGGGCUCAACCUGGGAACUGCAUUUGAAACUGGCAAGCUAGAGGUCUCGUAGAGGGGGGUAGAAUUCCAGGUGUAGCGGUGAAAUGCGUAGAGAUCUGGAGGAAUACCGGUGGCGAAGGCGGCCCCCUGGACGAAGACUGACGCUCAGGUGCGAAAGCGUGGGGAGCAAACA